AACAAACGCUGGCGGCGUGCCUAAUACAUGCAAGUCGAACGGGGAAAGCUUUCGGGUGAGUACUAGUGGCGCACGGGUGAGUAACGCGUGGAUAAUCUGCCUUAGAGUGGGGGAUAACUAGUCGAAAGAUUAGCUAAUACCGCAUAAGACCACAAGAACUGCGGUUCAAGAGGUCAAAGGUUUUUCGCUCUAAGAUGAGUCCGCGUAAGAUUAGCUAGUUGGUGAGGUAACGGCUCACCAAGGCAACGAUCUUUAACUGGUCUGAGAGGAUGAUCAGUCACACUGGAACUGAGACACGGUCCAGACUCCUACGGGAGGCAGCAGUAGGGAAUAUUGCACAAUGGAGGAAACUCUGACGCAGCGACGCCGCGUGAGUGAUGAAGGCCUUCGGGUCGUAAAGCUCUGUCGCAGGGGAAUAACACAAUGAAUGUACCCUGUAAGAAAGGAUCGGCUAACUUCGUGCCAGCCGCCGCCGUAAAAC
rnacentral:rRNA from 1 species